AUUAAGUUUCCACACUGUCAUGCCACCACUCUACAUUGUUUUUUUUCCCUUCUUAUCACUUCUGUUUUCUUGAUUUCUCAUACAAAAUCAAUCAUCACUUCAAUGGAGAAAGUGAGUUUCAGAAUAGAAGUCCUCAGCAGACACCUAAGUCAAAAAACAUCAACUCCCAAGUAUACAUUCCAAUCAGUCCCAUGUCUUAGCUACAAGCCACCUGAGCUUUCAGAACCAUCUGCUGUUUUCAACAUAAAAGAGAUGAGAAAGCUCGUGGAUGGUCACAAUUUGAAGGAAAGGGAGUGGCUUUUUGGUCUGAUGUUACAAAGCAAUCUUUUUAACCCAAUAGAAAGGGGUGGCAAAGUGUUUGUUUCCCAUGAUUACAGUCAGUCUAAGGAACAACAAAGGGAAAUUACCAUGAGGAGAAUUGAGUACCUUCUUGAACAUGGGGUUUUCAAGAAAUGGUUUACUGGUAAAGGGCCUGAAAAUGAGUGGAGGAAGUUAGCUUUCUCGGAUUGUGUUGGCGUCUUUGAUUAUUCACUUAGCAUCAAGCUUGGAGUCCAUUUGACCCUAUGGUAUGUUCUUGUCCAUUGUGUGCCUAUUUUUAAUAUCCGGAAGUUAGUGGCCUAACUAAUUUGCAUACCUCUCCGGUAGGUCCCAACUAAGGGAGAAGUUAUCUAUUCUCGAGGCCUGAACUCGAGACGUAUGGUUGAGGGGGAGACAUUUGGUUAAGUGUGGCGUCCACUAAGAGAUAAGUUCUUCAUUCCCGAGAGUUGAACCCUUGGCCUAUGGUUAAGGGUUAGAAUUGUAGUUAAGACUUAAGAGGUUCUUCAUUUCUAAGACUUGGUAGAACCCGACUCUUGUGGUUAAGUGCAAAACUUUGGUUAAGUGUGAAGGGGGUCACCUCCAUCCCACCUCACCUCUUGAUGGUCCGAAUGAUAAAUUGCUAUAAUGGUUGUUGUUACUGUUUGUUUUUCACUCAAAUUAGUUGGGAUCAAAUAUAUGAAUCGGCUUUGUCUAUCUCAGAGAACUCAUAAUUCCACUCUUUUUACUAUGGUUGUCAUAAGACAUUAUUAUUGAAUAGGAAUAAGAAAGAGUAUAAGUAGACAUUAAAUUUUCCUGUACGGACAUUCUUGAUUGCUUGAUUGAUUGGUUAAAGAAAGCUUACUUGGCAACUUUAGACCACCCAUCUGUGGAGGGUAGGAUGUACGCAAACCCUACCCCUGCCUUUGUGGGGUAGAUAGUUUGUUUCCGGUAGACCCUUGGCUCAAAACAAAAGUUUUUUAAGCAAGGAAAAUGCAAUAGAAAAAUAGCAAAAUAGCAAGAUACAAAGCAAAUGAAACAACAGACGGUACCACACAUUGAAAAAUAAGAAACAAAGCAAAUGCUAACUAGUACUACCACUACUAAUAGGAGGGGUAUUAUAUAAUUUUUUGAAUUAAUUUAAAUUGAAAAGUAUUAUAUAAAUUAGAAAGUCGUUUGUUUACAUUGAUGGGAUGUAUAAGAAUAUUUCAUGAGAUCCAUUAUCCCACCUUUUGUAUGAAAUUGCUAAUUUCACCAUUUUGUACAAAAUUAUUUUUGGAGCUAAUCAACAUCUAUAUUCAAAUAUGUAUAAAUUAGAAAGUCGUUUGUUUACAUUGAUGGGAUGUAUAAGAAUAUUUCAUGAGAUCCAUUAUCCCACCUUUUAUAUGAAAUAGCUAAUGUCACCAUUUUGUACAAAAUUAUUUUCGGAGCUAAUCAACAUCCAUAUUCAAAUAUGAGACUGAGUUGUUGUUCGGUAGCUGGUUAGAAUUAUGCAGGUAUUAGCUAUUCUAUCCUCUACUCCGUAUAAGAUAAUACACCAAUUCCCUCAUAACUCAUACAUGUAUUAGUUACGAGUUUCUAAAUUGCAAACCAAACUUCAUAUUAGUUUUAAUCACGAAUAAUUUAUUUCCUAAUUAACUACCAAACAUUGUAUAACUUAUACAAAAUUUAAUAAAUAUAUAAAUUGCUUCUUUACUAGCUACCAAACGACGACUGAUUGUUUGUUAUUGUAGUUGUCAGUCAACUAUGAGGUAAAAUAAUCAGACAUUUUGAAAUUUUCAGCUAUUGAUGUAGCCUCUUUGGAUGCUGAUCUAGAAUCCUUAUUUUUUAAAUUAUUAACAACCACCUAGCCCACCAACUUUGACCAUGGAAUAUAACUAAGUAGCCAGAUCAGUUAGACCAAAUAUUAAGUCUCCACACUGUCAUGCCACCACUCUACAUAGUUUUUUUCCCUUCUAUCAUUUCUGUUUGCUUGAUAUCUCAUACAAAAUCAAUCAUCACUUCAAUGGAGAAAGUGAAUUUCAGAAUAAAAGUCCUCAGCAGACACCUAAAUCAAGAAACAUCCACACCCAAGUUUAUACUCGAAUCGUUUCCAUGUCUUAGCUACAAGCCACCUGAGCUUUCAGAACCAUCUGCUGUUUUCGACAUAAAAGAGAUGAGAAAGCUCGUGGAUGGUCACAAUUUGGAGGAAAGGGACUGGCUUUUUGGUCUGAUGUUACAAAGCAAUCUUUUUAACCCAAUGGAAAGGGGUGGCAAAGUGUUUGUUUCCCCUGAUCACAGUCAGUCUAAAGAACAACAAAGGGAAAUUACCAUGAGGAGAAUUGAGUACCUUCUUGAACAUGGGGUUUUUAAGAAAUGGUUUACUGGUGAAGGGCCUGAAAAUGAGUUGAGAAAGUUAGCUUUCUCGGAUUGUAUUGGCGUCUUUGAUCAUUCACUGGGCAUCAAGCUUGGAGUCCAUUUGACCCUAUGGUAUGUUCUUGUCCAUUGUGUGCCUAUUUUUAAUAUCCGGAAGUUAGUGGCCUGACUAAUUUGAAUACCUCUCGGGUAGGUCCCAACUAAGGGAGAAGUUAUCUAUUCUCGAGGCCUGAACUCGAGACGUAUGGUUAAGGGGAAGACAUCUGGUUAAGUGUGGCGUCCACUAAGAGAUAAGUUCUUCAUUCCCGAGAGUUGAACCCUUGGCCUAUGGUUAAGAGUUUGAAUUGUAGUUAAGAGGUUCUUCAUUUCUAAGACUCGGUAGAACCCGACUCUUGUGGUUAAGUGCAAGAUCUUUGGUUAAGUGUGAAGGGGUCACCUCCAUCCCACCUCACCUCUUGGUGGUCCGAAUGAUAAAUUGCUAUAAUGGUUGUUGUUACUGUUUGUUUUUCGCUCAAAUUAGUUGGGAUCAGAUAUAUGAAUCGGCUUUGUCUAUCUCAGAGAACUCAUAGUUCCAUUCUUUUUACUAUGGUUGUCAAAAGAUAUAAUUUUUGAAUAGGAAUAAGAAAGAAUACAAGUGACAUUUAAUUUUCCUGGACGGACAUUCUUGAUUGCUUGAUUGAUUGGUUAAAGAAAGUAUGCUUGGCAACUUUAGACCACCAGUCCGUGGAGGGUAGGAUGUACGCAAACCCUACCCCUGCCUUUGUGGGGUAGAUAGUUUGUUUCCGUUAGACCCUUGGCUCAAAACAGAAGUUUUUUAAGCAAGGAAAAUGCAAUAGAAAAAUAGCAAGAUACAAAGCAAAUGAAACAACAGAUAGUACCGCACAUUGAAAAAUAAGAAACUAAGGGAAUGCUAACUAGUACUACCACUACUAAUAGGAGGGGUAUUAUAUAAUUUUUUGAAUUAAUUUAAAUUAAUAAGUGUGAUAUUAAUUAGAAAGUCGUUUGUUUACAUUGAUGGGAUGUAUAAGAAUAUUUCAUGAGAUCUAUUAAUCCCACCUUUUGUAUGAAAUUGCUAAUUUCACCAUUUUGUACAAAAUUAUUUUCGGAACUAAUCAACAUCCAUAUUCAAAUAUUCUAAUACGACACUGAGGAGUUGUUCGGUAGCUGGUUAGAAUUAUGCAUGUAUUAGCUAUUCUAUCCUCUACUCCAUACAAGUUAAUACAUCAAUUUCCUCAUAACUUAUACAUGUAUUAGUUACGAGUUUCUAAAUUGCAACCAAAUGUCAUAUCAGUGUUAAACAUGAAUGACUUAUUUCCUAACUAACUGCCAGACAUUGUAUAACUUAUACAAAAAUUAGUACAUGUAUAAAUUGCUUCUUUACUAGCUACCAAACAAGCUCUGAUUGUUUUUUAUUGUAGUUGUUAGUCAACUAUUAUGUAAAAUAAUCAGACCUUUUGAAAUUUUCAGCUAUUGAUGUAGCCUCUUGUGGAUGCAGAUCUAGAAUCCUUAUUUUUUUAAUUAUUAUUAACCACCUAGCCCACCAACCUUGACCAUGGAAUAUAACUAAGUAGCCAGAUCAGUUAGACCAAAUAUUAAGUUUCCACACUGUCAUGCCACCACUCUACAUUGUUUUUUUCCCUUCUUAUCAUUUCUGUUUUCUUGAUUUCUCAUACAAAAUCAAUCAUCACUUCAAUGGAGAAAGUGAGUUUCAGAAUAGAAGUCCUCAGCAGACACCUAAGUCAAAAAACAUCAACUCCCAAGUAUACACUCCAAUCAGUCCCAUGUCUUAGCUACAAGCCACCUGAGCUUUCAGAACCAUCUGCUGUUUUCAACAUACAAGAGAUGAGAAAGCUCAUGGAUGGUCACAAUUUGGAGGAAAGGGAGUGGCUUUUUGGUCUGAUGUUACAAAGCAAUCUUUUUAACCCAAUAGAAAGGGGUGGCAAAGUGUGUGUUUCCCAUGAUUACAGUCAGUCUAAGGAACAACAAAGGGAAAUUACCAUGUGGAGAAUUGAGUACCUCCUUGAACAUGGGGUUUUCAAGAAAUGGUUUACUGGUAAAGGGCCUGAAAAUGAGUUGAGGAACUUAGCUAUCGCGAGUUGUAUUGGCGUCUUUGAUCAUUCACUUGGCACCAAGCUUGUAGUCCAUUUGUUCCUGUGGUAUGUUCUUGUCCAUUGUGUGCCUAUUUCUAAUAUCCGGAACUUAGUGGCCUGAGUAAUUUGAAUACCUCUCGGGUAGGUCCCAACUAAGAGAUGCGUCAUCCAUUCUCGAGGCUUGAACUCGUGACGUUUGGUUAAGGGGGAGACAUCUGGUUAAGUGUGGAGCCCACUAAGAGAUAAGUUCUUGAAUUCCUGAGAGUUGAACCCUUGGCCUAUGGUUAAGGAUUAGACCUCUAGUUAAGAAGUUUCAGCUCCCCCUCAUUCGUUACGUUACUGAAUUUGCACUCCAGUACUCUGUUUUAGUCCUGGUCGAUCUGCCCUUUAAACUCUCGGGCCCGUUUCCAAACUUCUAGCCUGUCGUUAGCUCCACUGCGCAUCUUAACCAUCAAUGCAGGCAUUCUUGAUUGCUAGAUCGACUUGUAACUACCUAAGUAGACAUUAUUUUUUCUGUACAAACAUUCUAUGAUAUUUUCCAUCAAAACUUUUCAGUAUCUGCAUAUCAGCGGACUUUCUUGAAAAUUACUUGGUUGGAUGAUUCUUUUUGUUGGUGGUCCACCUACGCCACAAAAAAAGCAAAUCUACGAAUGAGUAAGAAGAACCUAAAUAGAUGAAACUAUUUGUAGUGACAAUCUUGAUUGGUUGGUUGUCGUUGCAUAAAUUCAAUUUCCAGGUUAGCAGAAUAUCAUUGAGCUUUUUGUUAAUUGAUCCAGGGGC
rnacentral:lncRNA from 1 species